CCAAACAACGACUUUGUAACGACCUCAGGAAACGGUGGAGCCAACAGGGUAGAAGGAGCUUGGGCGAGGCAACCAAGUCACGGCUGGGAAGACAGCUCUUUAGGAAAGCCACUCAGCCCAGAUGAGAUCAUGAGUUCAAGCAGGAAGAUCUACUCGGAGCCUACUGCAAUUAUCCAGGCAAAAGGAAGUGCUGGGCCUGCCACGGGAGAAAAGGGACCAUAUGCCACAAGAUAGCAUGUACAAGAAGGAGCCAAGAAACAUGGGAAUGGACCAUGAGGAUAAUUAAUCGUGAAGGGUGGAAUGUAAAGUUAGAUAAGGAAAAGUUUAAUAAAAUGAGAGCACUUAUUUGUGAUACAGGAAAUAACAUCCUGGUAAGGAACCUGGAGAAUGCAUGACUCUUUUGAAAUCCUGAAACAAGUGACGGCCUACAUGAAGUGAAGUAAAAUACCAGGAGUGCCAUGGAAGAUGGUAAAGGAUGGGAUCAAAAGGCUCAUGGAAAAGAGCAUUUCAGAAAGAAUAUGUAGGGCAGGAAAAUCCACCAGCCAACUAUAUUCCAAAGGAGCUUAAAGAACAAUCUGUAAGCAAUGUGCUUGUGAGAAAGGUAACACAAUCAUUUAGAAGUUUUGGUGGAUACACUCUAGAGGCCAAGGCUAACAGGAGAGUUACUGUUACAUAACUGUGAUUCCUGAUAGUAGUGCAAUGAUAGGCACUUCACCAUCCAUAACAAGCUGGGUGCAAUUACUGUAAUGGGUAGCAAGGUUGGAGUAGCAACCUGAAAAUUAUAACCUUCUGAGAUAGUUUGGAAUGUUCCCACCCAAAUCUCAUACUGAAGUGUAAUCCCCAAUGUUGGAGGUGGGGCCAGAUAGGGGGCAAUUUGAUCACAGGGGCAGAAUUAUCUGGAAUAGUUUUGAACCGUCCCCCUUUGUACUGUCCUCACAAUAGCAAGUGAAUUCUCCUUAGAUAUUAUCGUUUAAAAGUGAGUAGUAUCUCCACUUUCGCUCUUUCGCUCCUGCUCUGGCCAUGUGAUGUGCCUACUUCCCCUUCACCUUCUGCCAUAAUUGUAAGUUUCCUGUGGCCUCCCUGGAAGCUGAGCAGAUGCCAGCAUCAUGCUUCCUGUCCAGCCUAUAGAGCUAUGAGCCAUUUAAGCCUCUUAAAAAAAAUAAAUUAUAGAGUUUCAAGUAUUUCUUUACAGCAAUGCAAGAACAGCCUAAUACAGUUUUAAACAGCUCAGUAUUUCUAGGGGCAGUGUGAGUAGUCAACAAUAAUGAUGCUUAAUUUAUUUAAACAACAACAAAAAAAUCAAGGAUAGGUGACUGGGAGACUAAAAAUCUGCCUCAAUAAAUAGGCAAAAUCUGUUGCCAAUUCCCAGACAGAGCCUGAUAUUAGACCCAGAAUCCCUUGGCUGAAGAAGCUGGAUUUCCAGAAAGAAGGAUCCUGCUAUCUUACAACAAAUGUGUGUGGAAAUAAUUUCUCCAGUCUUUCCACAUAAGAGAUCUUGGACAUUACUGGGUAACUGUGCACUGGAGAAAUAAGAAAACAAGACAUUCUGAGGAUUGCUGGACACAGGAGUUGAAGAGACAUUGAUUUCCAAGCAUCAUAAUGAGUCCUCUGCUGAAAUAGGGACAUAUAAAGGGCAGAUAAAAUUAAUAGACUAUUGGCUUUUGUCUGCCUCACAAUGAAUCUACUAUGUGUACAAAAUACUCCAUGUUUAUUUCUCAAUUCUCCAAAUAUAUAACUGGCAUGGGUAUACCUUACUUUGGGUUCUUUGGCUUCUGUGUGUGGUUAGAACUAUCAGAGUGAGAAAGGCCAGCUGGAAGCUUCAAUACUUUAUAUGGUUUGGCUAUAUCCCCACUCAAAUCUCAUCUUGAAUUGUAGCUCCCAUAAUUCCCACAUGUUGUGGAAGUGACCCAGUGGGAAAUAAUUGAAUCAUGGGGGUAGUUUUUCCCAUACUGUUCUCAUUGUAGUAAAUAAGUCUCACAAGAACUGAUGGAUUUAUAAGGGGAAACCCUUUUUGCUUGGUUCUCAAUUUCUCUUGCCAGUUGCCAUGUAAGAUGUGUCUUGCUUCCCUUUCACCUUCUACCAUGACUGUGAAGCCUCCCCAGACAUAUGGAAUGGUGAGUCAACUAAACCACUUCAUAAAUUACCCAGUCUCAGGUAUGUCUUUAUUAGCAGUGUGGGACUAGACCAGUACACUACCCCACACCUUUUGCCAAGAAAGUAAAUCAAAAGCAUAUUACAUUCCUGAGGGAAUGGCAAAUAUUGGUUUGGUGCCACUCAUUAAGAACUAGAAAGGUGGGGGUUCCCAUUAUACCUCAUUUUAUUUACUAGUCUGACUCCUACAAUAACUGGUUGGACCAGGACAGAGAAGAACUACUACAAACUCAAAUAUAACUAGGUCACAUGUGGUAUUCUGUAGUCUCAAUUGCAGCUGCUGUGCUGCUGUAUGUGGCAUCUUUGCCAUGGUAGGUUAACAUAGUCUCAGUUCCAUGGUUUGUAGCUAUCAUUUGGUGAAUGUGUUCUUUUCCAUCACCACCAGGAAAAAAGACCAAAAGGAGUCCACUUUUAUGUGGGAUGGAUAAUAGUAUCUGUAUUAGUCU